CCUUAUGGCGGCUAUGUGCGGGCGGACUUCGGUCCGGCCGGUUUUGGGGUUCUAUCGGUGAUCUCACUCCGUACAUGGCUGCCACCUCU
rnacentral:antisense_RNA from 1 species